CGGGACUNGAUUUCGGUGUCGCAGCUAACGCGUUAAGCACUCCGCCUGGGAAGUACGGUCGCAAGAUUAAAACUCAACGGAAUUGACGGGGACCCGCACAAGCGGUGGNACAUGUGGUUUAAUUCGAUGNUACGCGAAAAACCUUACCAGACCUUGACAUGGUGGACAUAUGGCUAAGAGAUUAGUCAGUCGGUUCGGCCGGUCCAUCACAGGUGCUGCAUGGCUGUCGUCAGCUCGUGUCGUGAGAUGUUGGGUUAAGUCCCGCAACGAGCGCAACCCUCAUUCUUAGUUACCAGCGGGUAAUGCCCGGGCACUCUAAGAAAACUGCCCGGUGAUAAGCCGGAGGAAGGUGGGGAUGACGUCAAGUCAGCAUGGCCCUUACGGUCUGGGCUACACACGUGUUACAAUGGUGGUUACAGUAGGAAGCAACAGAGCGAUCUAGAGCAGAUCCUAAAAAGCCACCUCAGUUCGGAUUGUAUUCUGCAACUCGGAUACAUGAAGUUGGAAUCGCUAGUAAUCGCAGAUCAGCACGCUGCGGUGAAUACGUUCACGGGUCUUGUACACACUGCCCGUCACGCCAUGGGAGUUAAUUUUACCUUAAGUAGGUGAGCCAACCGCCAAGGAGGCAGCUUACCACGGUAAUGUUGAUGACUGGGGUGAAGUCGUAACCAAGGUACC
rnacentral:rRNA from 1 species